rnacentral:rRNA from 1 species
UCAGGAUGAACGCUGGCGGUAUGCUUAACACAUGCAAGUCGUACGGGUUAGAUUUAUCUAAUCUAGUGGCGGACGGGUGCGUAACACGUAAGAACCUACCUUUGGAGGGGGAUAACAUUGGGAAACUGAUGCUAAUACCCCAUAUUAGCUGAGGAGUGAAAAGCGGGUAUCCCGUGAGGGAGCCACGCGCCAGAAGAGGGGCUUGCGGCUGAUUAGCUAGUUGGUGGGGGUAAAAGCCUCCCAAGGCCACGAUCAGUAGCUGGUCUGAGAGGAUGAUCAGCCACACUGGGACUGAGACACGGCCCAGACUCCUACGGGAGGCAGCAGUGAGGAAUUUUCCACAAUGGGCGAAAGCCUGAUGGGAAGCAAUACCGCGUGGAGGAAGAAGGACCGUGGUUCGUAAUCUCCUUUUCUCAGAGAAGAAAAUUUGACGGUAUCUGAGGAAUAAGCUCCGGCUAACUAUGUGCCAGCCGCAGC